CCUUCGGGCGCUGACGAGUGGNCGGACGGGUGAGUAACGCGUAGAAUCUGCCUCAUAGUGGGGGACAACGUGGGGAAACUCACGCUAAUACCGCAUACGCUCCUACGGGGGAAAGGAGGGGAUCUUCGGACCUUUCGCUAUGAGAUGAGCCUGCGUUAGAUUAGCUAGUUGGUAGGGUAAAGGCCUACCAAGGCGACGAUCUAUAGCUGGUCUGAGAGGACGAUCAGCCACACUGGGACUGAGACACGGCCCAGACUCCUACGGGAGGCAGCAGUGGGGAAUAUUGGACAAUGGGCGAAAGCCUGAUCCAGCAAUACCGCGUGUGUGAAGAAGGCCUUAGGGUUGUAAAGCACUUUCAAUCGGGAGGAAAACCUAUCGACCAAUACCCGAUAGCUUGACAUUACCUUUAGAAGAAGCACCGGCUAACUCCGUGCCAGCAGCCGCGGUAAUACGGAGGGUGCGAGCGUUAAUCGGAAUUACUGGGCGUAAAGCGUGCGUAGGCGGUUCGUUAAGUCAGAUGUGAAAGCCCUGGGCUCAACCUGGGAACUGCAUUUGAAACUGGCGGACUAGAGUUUAGUAGAGGGGAGUGGAAUUUCAGGUGUAGCGGUGAAAUGCGUAGAUAUCUGAAGGAACACCAGUGGCGAAGGCGACUCCCUGGACUAGAACUGACGCUGAGGUACGAAAGCGUGGGUAGCAAACAGGAUUAGAUACCCUGGUAGUCCACGCCGUAAACGAUGUCGACUAGCCGUUGGCCCUAUUUACAGGGUUAGUGGCGCAGCUAACGCAUUAAGUCGACCGCCUGGGGAGUACGGCCGCAAGGUUAAAACUCAAAUGAAUUGACGGGGGCCCGCACAAGCGGUGGAGCAUGUGGUUUAAUUCGAUGCAACGCGAAGAACCUUACCUACCCCUUGACAUCCAAUGAAUC
rnacentral:rRNA from 1 species